ACGGAAGGCAGCAGUGGGGAAUAUUGGGCAAUGGGCGAAAGCCUGACCCAGCGACGCCGCGUGAGGGAAGAAGAUCUUCGGAUUGUAAACCUUAGUCAACAGGGAAGAAGAAAGUGACGGUACCUGUGGAGGAAGCCACGGCUAACUACGUGCCAGCAGCCGCGGUAAUACGUAGGUGGCGAGCGUUAUCCGGAUUUACUGGGUGUAAAGGGUGUGUAGGCGGGUCUGCAAGUCAGAUGUGAAACCUAUGGGCUUAACCCAUAGCCUGCAUUUGAAACUGCGGUUCUUGAGUGAAGUAGAGGUAAGCGGAAUUCCUAGUGUAGCGGUGAAAUGCGUAGAUAUUAGGAGGAACAUCAGUGGCGAAGGCGGCUUACUGGGCUUUAACUGACGCUGAGGCUCGAAAGCGUGGGGAGCAAACAGGAUUAGAUACCCUGGUA
rnacentral:rRNA from 1 species